rnacentral:rRNA from 1 species
UGCAGAGACUGCAAGCGUUAUUCGGAUUCACUGGGCGUAAAGGGUGCGCAGGCGGUCGGGUGUGUCAGAUGUGAAAUCCCGAGGCUCAACCUCGGAACUGCGUCUGAAACUACUCGACUAGAGUACUGGAGAGGGUAACGGAAUUCACGGUGUAGCAGUGAAAUGCGUAGAUAUCGUGAGGAACACCAGAGGCGAAGGCGGUUACCUGGACAGUUACUGACGCUGAUGCACGAAAGCUAGGGGAGCAAACAGG